rnacentral:rRNA from 1 species
AAAGAUGAGGUGUAGUGGGGGUUAAAUAAAAAUGCUAAAUUCUUCACUAAAUCAAUGUAUAAAUGGCUGGAAAAGCCUCUUAAUGGCUGCAACUACAAAUGGAUUUGGGAGGCAAAAAUACCUCUCAAAAUUCAGAUUUUCAUGUGGCAAUUAGCCCCGAAUGUUGUACUCACGAGGCAAGUGAUGAAGAGGAAAAAAUGGCCUGGUAACCCAGCCUGCUCUUUUUGCAAAAGCUGA